UGAUCAUUAGUCGGUGGAGAGUUCACUGACGCAGCUAACGCAUUAAAUGAUCCGCCUGAGUAGUAUGCUCGCAAGAGUGAAACUUAAAGGAAUUGACGGGGACCCGCACAAGCGGUGGAGCAUGUGGUUUAAUUUGAAGAUACGCGGAGAACCUUACCCACUCUUGACAUCCUUCGCAAAGCUAUAGAGAUAUAGUCGAGGUUAACGGAGUGACAGAUGGUGCAUGGUUGUCGUCAGCUCGUGUCGUGAGAUGUUUGGUCAAGUCCUGCAACGAGCGCAACCCCUAUCUUUAGUUACUAACGAGUCAUGUCGAGGACUCUAGAGAUA
rnacentral:rRNA from 2 species